GACGAACCGUGCGACCGUUGUUCGGAAUCACUGGGCUUAAAGGGCGCGUAGGCGGACUGCCAAGUCCGGGGUGAAAUCUUUCGGCUCAACCGGAAAAUAGCCUCGGAGACUGGCGGUCUGGAGGGGGGUAGGGGCAGCUGGAACUUCCGGUGGAGCGGUGAAAUGCGUUGAUAUCGGAAGGAACGCCGGUGGCGAAAGCGAGCUGCUGGACCUUUUCUGACGCUGAGGCGCGAAAGCCAGGGGAGCAAACGGG
rnacentral:rRNA from 1 species